GUCCACGCCCUAAACGUUGCGAACUAGGUGUUGGUCGGAUUGACCCGAUCAGUGCCGCAGCUAACGCAUUAAGUUCGCCGCCUGGGGACUACGGCCGCAAGGUUAAAACUCAAAGGAAUAGGCGGGGGCCCGCACAAGCAGCGGAGCGUGUGGUUUAAUUCGAGGCAACGCGAAGAACCUUACCUGGGUUUGACAUGCACAGGAAAUGCUCGUGAAAGCGAGCACCUCCCGCAAGGGAUCUGUGCACAGGUGGUGCAUGGCUGUCGU
rnacentral:rRNA from 1 species